rnacentral:rRNA from 1 species
GAUAAACGCUGGCGGCGUGCAUGAGACAUGCAAGUCGAACGGUCAAUCGGGCUUGCUCGAUUGAUAGUGGCGGACGGCUGAGUAACGCGUAGGUGACCUGCCCCGAAGUGGGGAAUAACUGCCCGAAAGGGUGGCUAAUACCGCAUGUGGUGUCACGUUCAGUCGUGACUCCAAAGCCGAAAGGCGCUUCGGGAGGGGCCUGCGUCCGAUUAGCUCGUUGGUGGGGUAACGGCUCACCAAGGCGACGAUCGGUAGGUGGUCUGAGAGGACGAUCACCCAGACUGGGACUGAGACACGGCCCAGACUCCUACGGGAGGCAGCAGUCGGGAAUUUUGGGCAAUGGGCGAAAGCCUGACCCAGCAACGCCGCGUGAGGGAUGAAGGCCUUCGGGUCGUAAACCUCUUUUCUCAGGGACGAUAAUGACGGUACCUGAUGAAUAAGCCACGGCUAACUACGUGCCAGCAGCCGCGGUAAUACGUAGGUGGCGAGCGUUGUCCGGAUUUACUGGGCGUAAAGAGCGCGCAGGCGGUCGUAUAAGUCGAAUGUGAAAGCCCCCGGCUCAACUGGGGAGGGUCAUUCGAUACUGUUCGACUGGAAGGCAGGAGAGGGAAGCGGAAUUCCCGGUGUAGUGGUGAAAUGCGUAGAUAUCGGGAGGAACACCAGUGGCGAAGGCGGCUUCCUGGCCUGUUCUUGACGCUGAGGCGCGAAAGCUAGGGGAGCAAACGGGAUUAGAUACCCCGGUAGUCCUAGCCGUAAACGAUGGACACUAGGUGUUGGCGGUAUCAACCCCGCCAGUGCCGAAGCUAACGCAUUAAGUGUCCCGCCUG